rnacentral:rRNA from 1 species
UUUUUAGAGUUUUGAUCCUGGCUCAGAUUGAACGCUGGCGGCAGGCCUAACACAUGCAAGUCGAGCGGAUGAAGGGAGCUUGCUCCUGGAUUCAGCGGCGGACGGGUGAGUAAUGCCUAGGAAUCUGCCUGGUAGUGGGGGACAACGUUUCGAAAGGAACGCUAAUACCGCAUACGUCCUACGGGAGAAAGCAGGGGACCUUCGGGCCUUGCGCUAUCAGAUGAGCCUAGGUCGGAUUAGCUAGUUGGUGGGGUAAUGGCCCACCAAGGCGACGAUCCGUAGCUGGUCUGAGAGGAUGAUCAGCCACACUGGGACUGAGACACGGCCCAGACUCCUACGGGAGGCAGCAGUGGGGAAUAUUGGACAAUGGGCGAAAGCCUGAUCCAGCCAUGCCGCGUGUGUGAAGAAGGUCUUCGGAUUGUAAAGCACUUUAAGUUGGGAGGAAGGGCUGUUACCUAAUACGUGACAGUUUUGACGUUACCAACAGAAUAAGCACCGGCUAAC